rnacentral:rRNA from 1 species
CCUGGCUCAGGACGAACGCUGGCGGCGCGCCUAACACAUGCAAGUCGAACGAGAGAUGAGGAGCUUGCUCUUCAAAUCGAGUGGCGAACGGGUGAGUAACGCGUGAGGAACCUGCCUCAAAGAGGGGGACAACAGUUGGAAACGACUGCUAAUACCGCAUAAGCCCACAGCUCGGCAUCGAGCAGAGGGAAAAGGAGUGAUCCGCUUUGAGAUGGCCUCGCGUCCGAUUAGCUGGUUGGUGAGGUAACGGCCCACCAAGGCGAUGAUCGGUAGCCGGACUGAGAGGUUGAACGGCCACAUUGGGACUGAGACACGGCCCAGACUCCUACGGGAGGCAGCAGUGGGGAAUAUUGCACAAUGGGGGAAACCCUGAUGCAGCGACGCCGCGUGGAGGAAGAAGGUCUUCGGAUUGUAAACUCCUGUUGUUGAGGAAGAUAAUGACGGUACUCAACAAGGAAGUGACGGCUAACUACGUGCCAGCAGCCGCGGUAAAACGUAGGUCACAAGCGUUGUCCGGAAUUACUGGGUGUAAAGGGAGCGCAGGCGGGAGAACAAGUUGGAAGUGAAAUCCAUGGGCUCAACCCAUGAACUGCUUUCAAAACUGUUUUUCUUGAGUAGUGCAGAGGUAGGCGGAAUUCCCGGUGUAGCGGUGGAAUGCGUAGAUAUCGGGAGGAACACCAGUGGCGAAGGCGGCCUACUGGGCACCAACUGACGCUGAGGCUCGAAAGUGUGGGUAGCAAACAGGAUUAGAUACCCUGGUAGUCCACACCGUAAACGAUGAUUACUAGGUGUUGGAGGAUUGACCCCUUCAGUGCCGCAGUUAACACAAUAAGUAAUCCACCUGGGGAGUACGACCGCAAGGUUGAAACUCAAAGGAAUUGACGGGGGCCCGCACAAGCAGUGGAGUAUGUGGUUUAAUUCGACGCAACGCGAAGAACCUUACCAAGUCUUGACAUCCCUUGACGAACAUAGAAAUAUGUUUUCUCUUCGGAGCAAGGAGACAGGUGGUGCAUGGUUGUCGUCAGCUCGUGUCGUGAGAUGUUGGGUUAAGUCCCGCAACGAGCGCAACCCUUAUGGUCAGUUACUACGCAAGAGGACUCUGGCCAGACUGCCGUUGACAAAACGGAGGAAGGUGGGGAUGACGUCAAAUCAUCAUGCCCUUUAUGACUUGGGCUACACACGUACUACAAUGGCGUUAAACAAAGAGAAGCAAGACCGCGAGGUGGAGCAAAACUCAGAAACAACGUCCCAA